UACAGAGGUCUCAAGCGUUGUUCGGAUUCAUUGGGCGUAAAGGGUGCGUAGGUGGCGCCGUAAGUCGGGUGUGAAAUUUCGGAGCUUAACUCCGAAACUGCAUUCGAUACUGCGGUGCUUGAGGACUGGAGAGGAGACUGGAAUUCAUGGUGUAGCAGUGAAAUGCGUAGAGAUCAUGAGGAAGACCAGUGGCGAAGGCGGGUCUCUGGACAGUUCCUGACACUGAGAGACGAAAGCUAGGGGAGCAAAUGGG
rnacentral:rRNA from 1 species